ACAGGAAGAGAAGAGAAUUAGUUUGAGUUUAAAAUGUUGAUAUGACAUCUGAUUACAAAGAUGAAUGAAUGUGGAGAUGGAUAUAGCUACUAAUAUAGAGAAAGGAAUGUUUUUUAAACUGUAAAAAACUGCAUGAAUGUUUAUGGCAUUUAUUAUUUACACACCAGACUGGGUAGUUGAUCGAUGCAGAAGAAUAUGUUACAGAAUAAUGUUUUGUUAUUGUUUUACUAGGUGUAAAAAUGCAUUAAAGAAACAGCAGCAUAGCUUAGCUGUGAACGAAGUAUUCAAAAGUGUCAUUAUCCCUUUAAUUGAAACAAUCUCUCUCUCUCUGUCUCUAUCUCUCUCUCUCUCGCUCCAUGAGAAAUUAAUUAAUGCUCCUUGCAUAUUUUUAAAGUCACUAUUACUUCACAAAGUGCCAAGAACGCUGCUUAAUUUGAAGCUCAGAGGCCGGGGCUGUGGAUGAAACAGCAGAUGCUGAGCAUAAAACAGGAUCAACGUGAUUUAAGAAGAGAAAAUAAAAUUAGCUUAAAAACUCAAAGGUUGGUUAAAACACUAAUUAUGAUGCACAAACAGCAAAUUAGGAUAAAAAUAACAACACUGAAGCCUUUUCUUACUACCUACAAGGAAUGACAUGAAAGAGGGGAGAAAGGAUGUGUUAAUCUCCUGUGUACAUUUUAUUAUGCAGAGUUUAGUUGUAUAAAUUAUGAGGCGAUAAAGGUGUGUGUUACGUUUACAUGCAGUAAGAUAGGCCAAAUAGGAUUAAUCAUAGAAAAUCAAAGGAUUUCAUGAAAAAAUCUAUGUAUUUAUUUAUUUCCAGUUCAUUUGUAAGAGGUGAUUAAUCCGUUUAUAAUUUAUUAAUAACACAGUAGCAGUGGAUUAAUCACAAUUAAUCAUGAAUAAUCGAGAUAAAUCAAUAUUCCUAAAUAUGGCCAAACUUAAUAGGAAACUUCCCUAAUAUCAGACUGAAGUUGAAGCCUCCACAAACAUAAGCUGGUCAUUGAGAUGGAACAGUGUGUGUAAAUAAUAACAAUGCAAUGAUAAGGGAAUGGUCUGUGGAAUUGUUGGGAAUACAGUGUCCGUCAUUCUGUAAAAUUUCAAUCCAGUUAACAUUGUUAGCUAACGUCAAGGACAAAACCCCACCAUACGAGGCAGUGUUUGAUUUGGCAUGUGCAGGAGUAAUGUGUAAAAGGACCUAAUAAAAUUGAAUCAUUUCUGUCAUACGUCAUGUGACUUGUGCACCUGGCAACAGAUGUCUAUGUCUGAAAUAUCGCUUCCUGAUCUCCUGGGCAUUUCCUCUUUCUUUAUUGGUCUGAUUUUGCGAUGAGCAGGUGGACAGACAGAAAGUGACACACAGACACGGGGUGUUUAAAGAAAUCACAGAAAGGUCAGAGAUAGAGGCAGAAAUAUCAAUGUGUAUAUGCAGAAAAUAACCUUUCUUUUGUGUGUGACAUUAGAUCGUUCUUUGAUACAGAGAGCAGAGGGGAGGAUUGGGGGGGCACUAGUUCUCACGGGAGGAAAAGGCGCUUAUUUUCCAAAAUGCCCCUUGCUUCAUGCAUUAUUGAAAUUUAUGGCUGCUUUUUUUUGCAGUCAGGUCUAUAGUUGGCUUUUCAGUCAGUUUGCAGGUUGAUGUGUGUUUAAACCCAGGGAGUGCUGAGUCGUGGCAAAGCACACUUUUUCACUCAUUUUUGCUUGCACUCAUUCUCACGACCUUGGUGGAUUUUAGUUUCCCAAGCACUUCCCAUGCGAAAGCAAUGUGCUUGCAGAAUGUUAACUCAUGUGUGAGUGACUGUUAACUAAUAAGUACUCACACUCCUAACAAUAAAGCAGGAAGCUAAAAGUGUGCAGACACCUCAAAUCUGUGUGACCAAUUAUUGAAGCUGACUUGACUUGAUGAUGGAUGAACCAACUAUCAACCACCAGCAGCGAGAAAAUACCAUACACCCAUAAAACCUUAGAAAAUACACAGCUGUGAGUAGCAUGGGAUAUAGUACAGAUUUAGCUGUGGUUGAUACCAGUUUGGAGAUUAAUGGUUGUAAAAUGUCAAAAGUAAUAAAAAACUCACAUUUUUAACCAUAGGCUCAGUAAAACAAUGGCCUCAGCAAUUAUAUUGUAAAGUAAUUCAAAUUAUUUUAGAUAUAAAUGAUAUUUGUUACUAAUUGAUAUACAGAGGGAGAAUUGUGUUCACAAAAGAACAGCAGCCAUUUUGACCACGUGUUGGUUCACACAGAGCACUAUGCUAAUGGUCACUGUUGCUAACGGUCAUUGUUUGCACACUUCCUGUAACAAUUGUUUGGGUACUAGGUACUAGGUUUUGUCAGUUACAAUCCCAUUUAGAAAAAAAUAAAUGUAACUUACAUCUGCAGCAUCUUCUUUUUUCUGAAAUCCAAUUUUAAAUCUUGAAGUUUUAAAACAGGACUGAACAUGUUCAACUCCAUGUUUUCUUGGUUUAGUUUCACACAUGGGAAAUUAUUUUUUCUUGCAAAAAGAGGAAGCGAAAAACAAAAUGUUUUACUUCCCCCUUUAGAAUAGCCUUGAUUAGAUUUCCAUCACGUUUGCCUUCAAGGCAGUUAAGAUCCCCAGGCCACGGCAAAGAGAGAAAAACAGAAAAUCACAACAGAGACAGCAGGUGGGAUUGGCUGCACUGUCCCCUGACUCUGCCAAUGGACAAGUAGAAGAAAAUGGAGGGAUGGACGUAUGGUUUCUCAAACUAUCUGCAGAAUUUAAGGGUGUGACAACGCCUGUCAGCAUCUUCCGCUCCGAGCCACUUCCUGUUUUGAUCCGGCUCACAACCGUCUACCUGCGUCUGAUUCGGUGCCUUCUCGCAUUCUUAGUCACGCAGCUGAGUGACGCGGCAGACAGAUUGAUGCUGACACGUUUGACCAGCCGCGGAAAACAAUGUGUGACAGGUUUUUUCUGCAUGUCUACCUUGCUGUAUCUACUGUUUCACCCAAAGGCCUCGUCUCCGAACAUGAGUAUAAAGGGAACAAAACCCCGGAAAAAAAACAACAAACUAGAACAUAGAGAGAGUAGAUUUAUGCUCUGGUCCUCAUGGAAACACUUGAGCAAAAUGAGGAAAGUAAUAAAAAUUUUACUCCGCUGCUUUUUAAUGUUUACUCAUAAAUUUAAGCAACACCAGAGACUUGUGUCGUUAUUUAACUGUGAUAUCUCAGUUUUCAUAAAAACUGAAGAAAGAUCCACAACUGGCCUUUAAACCUUAAAGAGAAUAAAACAAGAAAGAAAAUACUACUGUUUAUAAAGUUUUCUUAGAGUAAAACAAAGUUAGCUUAGUUUUUUUUUCCUUCAUAAAAGUAAUGAAGUGUGACAAUAUAUUUUUUAAUCCUCUGCUUAGAAGAAGCAUCAGUGGAGUCCAUCAGAGUGAACAGAGGCAACAUUGCUCUCUGGAGAAAAACUGUUUCAACAUCUCGUCCUUCUGUGGAAAAAAUGAUUCAGUGCAACUACAGCUGGUUGGAAAAGGCUCUGCCCCACUGCGUAUGCAUAAAGUGAAUAUGAUUUGGGCAGCAGGCGUGCUUCAGAAGAAAGACAUCAAAAACAAAAAAAGAAAAUCAUGUUUAAAUCUCUGGACAGAUUCUAGAAUUCAAAAUACAAGAGACAUUUUAGGUGUUUGGAUUCCUGAUAGUAUCUUAUAGUGUAAGUUAAACCAAACAAACCAGUGUUUGAUUGUGUUGUCUGUGUGAAUGAAGAGGUAGGUGAACACAACGUUGAAACGCAUUGAUUGUCUGUUUAAUGUUACAUUACAGUUCCACUGAUGAAGACUAAUCUAGAAUGGACUUUUUAAACUUUAGAUAAUGUCUUAUUAAUCUGAAAUUUAAAAUGGGUAGAAGGCAGUAAAAAAUAUGACCGAUGUUAGUACCAUAACAACAACAAAACCUUAUCUUCUUAAUUUUUAUUUUUAAAAAAAUACAAAAAUACACAGGAUGCAAUACUAAACUUAUAAAAAAAGUAUUAAAUAAAUAACUGCUAAAAUACAACAAAAACAUUUUCAUGCUUUCUUAAAACUGCCUAGCAUUGUUAAGUGUCUAGUGCAGCCUUGACACUUUAACAUCUGAUUUGGGAAAAAAAAAACAAAGAUGAUGUACCGACUUUUUUUCCAAGUUGCACUGAAACCCAGGAAAAAAUGACUAGAAAUGAGGAGUCAUCUUUUUAUCUAAUUCUUAUUUUGUAUUCUCUGUUUGUUUCUUUCAAGUUGUUUACACCACUCCUUCUCCUUCUAUCUAUUUGCCUUUUUUUUUCUUACAGCGUCAUUUCUACCUGCAUCUCUGCCUAUGGGCCCUGAUGUCCCAUCAUGCUUUGUUCUUCCUAUUCCUCAGCCAGCAGGGAGGAUGAGCGACCACAGCUGCUGAGAUCAAAGUUGACUUGCUCUAUUCCAGGAAAGUACUACAAAAAUCCACCCCCGUCCAACUGCGUCUAGGCCUACAGCUCAUGUUUGCUGAGAAUGUAGGCAUAAAAUAAUCAAAAUCUGUCAGUGUCAGUCGGUGUUGUCAUCAGUUAUUUAUUUAUUGCAACAAGAGGUAAUAAAAUUAUACUUUUCCUGCCAAGCUUGAAGAUAAGACAAGAUGAACUUUUGAGAAUCGAGAGAACUAAAUAGACGGUGUUUCCUGGAUGACAACAGCAGUUUGGUGGCAGCAGUGCAGGUUUUGAGGUAGUAUCUAUAGAUGACUAGUCGUAGAAUAGACAAUGAAAAUGAGCACUAACCUAAAGCAAGCACUUAAGGUUAGUCAUGUCUUUAAAAAGGAAUUUGGUGGGGUAUGCAUAAAUAUGUGUAAUCAACUGGUUAAUUUAAAUUGUCUGGCUGGUCGUAUUCUCAUUAUACGUGAAAGGAAUUGUAAGAAAAAAAAAAUCAAAUGUCCCUGAAGCAAAGGAAAAUAAAGGA